ensembl:ncRNA lncRNA:CR46094 long non-coding RNA:CR46094
AUUCAAGAAUUCUUCAUAGAUAAACCAACUUCAAACUGCAUUUAUUUUUGUAACUUCCAAGGACCCACUGAAAUUUAUUACCUUAAAGAUACCAGGCAACAUGAAGGGUCUGCAAAUUCGAUUAAAUUAAAUUUUAGCGACACAUAAUGGAAAUUCUGGACAGGAGAGGAAAAUAACCAACUGACGCACGGAGUUACAUGUGUAUAUUUGUUAUUUAUACAGUAGCUGCUGUGGCAGAAAAUCACGACCAUGUCCUUGAAUACGAAAUUGCGACCCAACUUGCAGAGGGAACGCCAAGGAUACGUAGGGAGCAGCAAGGAUAACAGCCCGAUCCCACGCUCUGUUUAACACCCUCAACCGCCACGACAAAAGCACAAAUUGUUUAUACGUACAUAUAUACAGCUGCGGUGAAAAUAAUAGCACCGGAAGUGCAGGGAUUUAGGAUAUAGAUAAAAAUAGUUCUUAUACAAAAGAAAGAAAUUGUAAUUUAUGUACAGUUAAUUAGUUAGUAUUUUUGAAAUAAACCUUUUAAUUG